rnacentral:misc_RNA from 1 species
AAACACAAGUACAAGGAAAGGAAAAGAAGGCAUCAAACACUCCACUCUUACAACUAUGCAGACUACCAUAUCUUAUUCCUCUUUUCCUAUAACCCCAUGUAUCAUUUACUCAAUCAUCUCUUCGUCAUCGUCGACGAUUUCUUCGAUCUUCAUCUUCUUCACUGCCUGUGCUGCAUCAUUCCUUGGGACACUGGGUAUCUGAAUUAACACUUCACCCUUCUGUCCUGUGGCUGCAUUAACCAGUCC